rnacentral:lncRNA from 1 species
GUAUGGUUGGAAGACUAGGGAAUUUGACGAGCCUCUCCACUUUGCAGACUUGCCCCAGCUUGUCCAUCUGGACCUCAGUUUCAACUAUCUCUUGGGAGGCCCAAUCCCAUCAAGCAUUGGCACUCUCGUGAAGCUCGAAUACCUCGAUUUAUCCAGCAACAAUCUUGAUGGAUAUAUCCCACAUUUCGUAGGUAACUGUAUAAAGAUGUCAUCCAUCAAUCUCUUUUACUACAAUUAUUUUCUGCCAUGCCUAGUACAGUAGGAAGACAAGGGAAUUUGGCGAGCCUCUCCACUUUGCAGACUUGCCCCAGCUUGCCCAUCUGGACCUCAGCUACAACAAUUUCUUGGGCCCAAUCCCAUCAAGCAUUGGUACUCUCGUGAAGCUCGAAUACCUGGGUCUAUCUGGCAACCAUCUUCAUGGAUCUAUCCCACAUUCCGUAGGUAACUGUACAAAACUAUCCUCCAUCGAUCGCUUUUACUACAAUUUUUUAUGCCAUGCCUAGUACAGUAGGAAGACUAGGGAAUUUGAUGAGCCUCUCCACUUUGCAGACAUGCCCCAUCUUGUCCAUCUAGACCUCAGUCAGAACAGUCUCUCAGGCGCAAUCCCGUCAAGCAUUGGUGUUCUUGCCAAGCUCGUAUACUUGGAUCUGUUUGGCAAUGACCUGGAUGGAUUUAUUCCAACAUCCAUUGGUAAUUGUACGAAGCUAACCUCCAUCGAUCACUUUUACUAUAAUUUGUUUGUACCAUGCCUAGUGUGGUUGGAAGACUAGGGAAUUUGACGAGCCUCUCCACUUUGCAGACUUGCCCCAGCUUGUCCAUCUGGACCUUAGUUUCAACUAUCUCUUGGGCGGCCGAAUCCCAUCAAGCAUUGGCACUCUCGUGAAGCUCGAAUACCUCAAUUUAUCCAGCAACAAUCUUGAUGGAUAUAUCCCACAUUUCGUAGGUAACUGUACAAAGCUGUCAUCCAUCGAUCUCUUUUACUACAAUUGUUUUCUGCCAUGCCUAGUACAGUAGGAAGACAAGGGUAUUUGACGAGCCUCUCCACUUUGCAGACUUGCCCUAGCUUGCCCAUCUGGACCUCAGUUACAACAAUUUCUUGGGCCCAAUCCCAUCAAGCAUUGGUACUCUCGUGAAGCUCGAAUAACUGUGUCUAUCUGGCAACCAUCUUCAUGGAUCUAUCCCACAUUCCGUAGGUAACUGUACAAAACUAUCCUCCAUCGAUCUCUUUUACUACAAUUUUUUAUGCCAUGCCUAGUACAGUAGGAAGACUAGGGAAUUUGAUGAGCCUCUCCACUUUGCAGACUUGCCCCAUCUUGUCCAUCUAGACCUCAGUCAGAACAGUCUCUCAGGCGCAAUCCCGUCAAGCAUUGGUGUUCUUGCCAAGCUCGUAUACUUGGAUCUGUCUGGCAAUGACCUGGAUGGAUUUAUCCCGACAUCCAUUGGCAAUUGUAGUAAGCUAACCUCCAUCGAUCACUUUUACUAUAAUUUGUUUGUACCAUGCCUAGUAUAGUAGGAAGACUAGGGAAUUUGACGAGCCUCUCCACUUUGCAGACUUGCCCCAGCUUGUCCAUCUGGACCUCAGUUUCAACUAUCUCUUGGGCGGCCCAAUCCCAUCAAGCUUUGGCACUCUCGUGAAGCUCGAAUACCUCGAUUUAUCCAGCAAUAAUCUUGAUGGAUCUAUCCCAUAUUCCGUAGGUAACUGUACAAAGCUGUCAUCCAUCGAUCUCUUUUACUACAAUUGUUUUCUGCCAUGCCUAGUACAGUAGGAAGACAAGGGAAUUUGACAAGCCUCUCCACUUUGCAGACUUGCCCCAGCUUGCCCAUCUGGACCUCAAUCACAACAAUCUCUCGGGCCCAAUCCCAUCAAGCAUUGGCACUCUCGUGAAGCUCAAAUACCUGGAUCUAUCCGGCAACCAUCUUCAUGGAUCUAUCCCACAUUUCGUAGGUAACUGCACAAAACUAUCCUCCAUCGAUCUCGUUUACUACAAUUUUUUAUGCCAUGCCUAGUACAACAGGAAGACUAGGGAAUUUGAUGAGCCUCUCCACUUUGCAGACUUGCCCCAUCUUGUCCAUUUGAACCUUGGUAACAACCAUCUCUCAGGUGGAAUCCGAUCAAGCAUUGGUGCUCUUGCCAAGCUCAAAAACUUGGAUCUGUCCGGCAAGGACCUGAACGGAUGUAUCCCAACAUCCCUAGGUGAUUGUACUACACUAACUUCCAUAGAUCUCUCUUAUUAUUAUUUUUUAUACCAUGCCUGGUACAAUAGCAAGACUAGGGAAUUUUAUGAGCCACUCCACUUUGCAGAUUUGCCCCAUCUUAACAAUUUGAACCUUGACAACAACCUCCUCUCAGGCGGAAUCCCAUCAAGCAUUGGUGCUCUUGCCAAGCUCGAAAACUUGGAUCUAUCCUUCAAUAUUCUUAAUGGAUCGAUUGGAAGCAUAGGAAAUCUAACGAGUUUACAUCACCUAAAUCUUUCAAACAACCGGAUCACGGGUUCCAUUGGAAGCAUAGGAAAUCUAACAAGUUUAGAAUUCUUGGAUCUUUCGUACAAUCAAAUAAAUUGCUCCAUCCCUUUGACUUUCUCGAAAUUGAUCUCUCUUACAACACUAUCACUUAAGUCCAAUCAGCUUAAUGUAAUGUUACCGCGAGAGUUAUGAUCUCUUGUUCUUCUCUCACAUAUGGAUCUAAGUAGAAAUCAAUUUUCAGGAAGUAUUCCACCUCAGAUUGGACAUUGUCACUCUUUAUCGUUCUUACUCCUGUCAGACAACUUACUGACAGGACAGAUACCACGAGAAUUUGGGUAUCUUGCCAACCUAUAUGAGCUUGAUUUGAGUAAAAACAAUUUAAGCAGUGCCAUCCCAACGACUUUUUCUGUUUAUCACCAACUUUGGAAGCUGAAUUUAUCAUAUAAUAAUUUGGAUGGCAGAGUUCCAUUUAUCGCUGCCGCCUUGAUCUCACUUGACCAUAAUACAGAGUUAUGUGGUGAUUCGUAUGGCUUAACUCCAUGUGAAACACCGAAGUUAGACAUGGAACACCAAAAAGGGAAACACCCAAGUAUGGUACUUCUUGCUCUUUUUGCACCCUUUUCAUUUGCUUGCCUCUCAAUUGUAAGCAUCACGAUCGUCUGUUGGAGAAGAAAGGAUGUAAAAAGUACAAGCAAAAGCAAGUCUGGAGAUAUAUUUUCCAUAUGGAAUUUUGACGGAAAGAUCGCGUUCGAAGACAUCAUCAGCUAAAAAUUUUGAUGAGAAAUAUUGCAUUGGUGUUGGAGGAUAUGGAUCUGUCUUCAGAGUUCAUCUUGAAGGCGGGAUUAUCUUUGCCGUCAAGCUCCUUCACUCAGUGGAAGAAUAAAGCGACGAGGGAACAUUUCACGCCGAGAUUGAAGUGUUGACAAAAAUCAGGCACCGAUGCAUCGUCAAGCUGUAUGGCUUCUGUUCCCACUCCCAGUACAAAUUCCCCGUAUAUGAUCUUAUCGAGAGGGGAAGCUUAUCAUCCAUUAUGCACGAGCAAGAGCUAGUGAAGGAGCUGGAUUGGCCCAAGAGAGUUUCUGUUGUGGUGGAUGUAGCUCAAGCUCUCUCCUACUUGCACCAUGGUUGCGGCGAUCCAAUCGUGCAUCAUGACAUAAAAAGCAGCAACAUUCUUCUGGACCUCGAUUAUAAGGCUUAUGUUUCAGACUUUGGCAUGGCGAGGAAACUGAAGCAUGGUUACUCAAGCUGGAGCACUAUUUUUGCAGGCACGUGUGGCUACAUAGUCCCUG